UACGGAGGGUGCAAACGUUGCUCGGAAUCAUUGGGCGUAAAGCGCACGUAGGCGGCCUGAUAAGUCGGGUGUGAAAGCCCUGGGCUCAACCCAGGAAGUGCACUCGAAACUGUCAGGCUUGAAUAUGGAAGAGGGUCGCGGAAUUCCCGGUGUAAAGGUGAAAUUCGUAGAUAUCGGGAGGAACACCAGUGGCGAAGGCGGCGACCUGGGCCAAUAUUGACGCUGAGGCGCGAAAGCGUGGGGAGCAAACAGG
rnacentral:rRNA from 1 species